GAUGAACGCUAGCGGGAGGCUUAACACAUGCAAGUCGAGGGGCAGCAUAGGGUAGCAAUACUCUGAUGGCGACCGGCAAACGGGUGAGUAACGCGUAUGCAACCUACCCUGUACAGGGGGAUAACCCGGAGAAAUUCGGACUAAUAUCCCGUAAUAAUAUCCGGAGGCAUCUUUGGAUAUUUAAAGUUCCGACGGUACGGGAUGGGCAUGCGUAACAUUAACUGGUUGGUAAGGUAACGGCUUACCAAGGCUAUGAUGUUUAGGGGUCCUGAGAGGGUGGUCCCCCACACUGGUACUGAGACACGGACCAGACUCCUACGGGAGGCAGCAGUGAGGAAUAUUGGUCAAUGGGCGCAAGCCUGAACCAGCCAUCCCGCGUGCAGGAAGACGGCCCUAUGGGUUGUAAACUGCUUUUCCAGGGAGAGAACUUACGCACGUGUUGCGUGACUGACGGUACCCUGGGAAUAAGCAUCGGCUAACUCCGUG
rnacentral:rRNA from 1 species